rnacentral:rRNA from 1 species
GACGGAGGGUGCUAGCGUUGUUCGGAAUUACUGGGCGUAAAGGGCGCGUAGGCGGCCGCUUGCGUCGGAUGUGAAAGCCCGGGGCUCAACCCCGGAACGGCAUCCGAUACUGGACGGCUCGAGUUCGGGAGAGGGAUGCGGAAUUCCAGGUGUAGCGGUGAAAUGCGUAGAUAUCUGGAGGAACACCGGUGGCGAAGGCGGCAUCCUGGACCGACACUGACGCUGAUGAGCGAAAGCCAGGGGAGCAAACGGG